AUGCUCAUAGUGUUUCUUGCUGCCUUCCCUCCAAACCAAACAGUGGGCUGGAGGAAUGACAUGGCUGGAGCUGGAACGUACUGGAGGAACUGCAGACCAACGACUGACGGACGCUGUGCUCAGGCUGGACUCUGUCUGCCUCCAUAUGGAGGAAUCCCAGACCAUCCAGCUUCCUCUCACAGUCCAAAGCCAGCUGGGAUGGGCUCCAGCGACCCCAUGACCCUUGGAAGGACAGUGGAUGGAAGGUUGGACAAGGUUCUGGUUCUGCUUCCCUGUCUCUUCUACUUCACACAGACCCAGCUUAAACUGAGAAGAUUUGGGUCCAGUAAGAGUCAGACAGAACCCAGAACCAACAUUAUGUCUAAGUACAACUAGAAACACUGCAGCAAACAAAAGUGGCUUCAGACAGAACUUGUCUGGAACCAAGACCAGAUUACAGGUGACUUAAUUAUGAAUUCAUACAGGACUAGACAUUAAAACGUGACUCAGGGUGGCCAGCAGGCUAACGGGCCAGCAGGCUAACGGGCCAGCAGGCUAACGGGCCGGCAGGCUAACAGGCUAACAGGCUAAGAGGCCAGCACACACGAAACACUGACAACAUCUGGCAACAUCAGACGUCAAGGGAUACGUGUGGAGAUCAGACAGAGCAGCAAGCAGUGGAGGUGAGUAUUUAUAGCAGGCGCAGAGGGGACGGCACAGGUGAGUAGAAGCGGCUGAUUGACCCUGGGGUCAGGGGGCGUGGCCUAUAGCUGGUAACACAGGGGGUCUGACUGUUACACAUCAUGGUUUUGUUAGGAUUUGGAAGUUGACUUAUCCGAUUCAACUCACUUUGGUUAAAUUAAACAAAGGUUAUGACCUGUCUGACCUCUGGUCUGAGAGGAGAGAAACAACAACAACCAUCACAGCAACCAGAAGACAGACAGACACAGACAGGCUGCACAGUCCAAAGUAUUGAACCCAAUAUUUUGAUCACAGCAGACUUUUAGUUGCUAUGAAUCCAAACUAGACAGAAAUGUCUGUGAAGGUUCUUCCAUCCAGGUCGUGUUUUGGAGGAACUACAUGUUCUUUUAGAUGAUCAGUGCUGCUGCAUCCAUGCAGAGACAGAGGCUGUGGGACAGUUCACUUCACCAGACUCCCAUAGUGGAGGCAGAGUCCCACUGGGAGACGACCGCUGUGAGCUGAAGCCUAGCUCAGCACACAUACUGUACAACCAGGGGCUCAGAUGGGAAUGACCUCUGACCUGCUCAAAUCCAGCUUCAGUGUCUGCAGGUCCAGCAGGAGAACGUGGACAUCCGACGGGAAAGAAGAUAAAUCGAAUGUCAUGUGUGUCUGCUUCACGUCAGAAACCUCGUCAAGUUAGACCUGAACCAAGACG
rnacentral:lncRNA from 1 species